AGGGGUGAGGCUUAGUGGCAGAGAGCCUGCUUGGCACGUGGGAGGCCCUGGAUUCAAUUCCCAGCACUGCAA
rfam:Ictidomys tridecemlineatus contig018577, whole genome shotgun sequence.